rnacentral:rRNA from 1 species
AACGAACGCUGGCGGCAGGCUUAACACCUGCAAGUCGAGCGCCCCGCAAGGGGAGCGGCAGACGGGUGAGUAACGCGUGGGAACGUACCCUUUGCUACGGAAUAGCUCCGGGAAACUGGAAUUAAUACCGUAUGUGCCCUAAGGGGGAAAGAUUUAUCGGCAAAGGAUCGGCCCGCGUUGGAUUAGCUAGGUGGUGGGGUAAUGGCCUACCAAGGCGAAGAUCCAUAGCUGGUCUGCGAGGAUGAUCAGCAACAUUGGGACUGAGACACGGCCCAAACUCCUACGGGAGUCAGCAGUGGGGAAUAGUGGGCAAUGGGCGCAAGCCUGAUCCAGCCAUGCCGCGUGAGUGAUGAAGGCCUUAGGGUUGUAAAGCUCUUUCACCGGGGAAGAUAAUGACGGUAUCCGGAGAAGAAGCCCCGGCUAACUUCGUGCCAGCCGCCGCAGUAAAAC